rnacentral:rRNA from 1 species
GACGAACGCUGGCGGCGUGCCUAAUACAUGCAAGUCGAACGAACUCUGGUAUUGAUUGGUGCUUGCAUCAUGAUUUACAUUUGAGUGAGUGGCGAACUGGUGAGUAACACGUGGGAAACCUGCCCAGAAGCGGGGGAUAACACCUGGAAACAGAUGCUAAUACCGCAUAACAACUUGGACCGCAUGGUCCGAGUUUGAAAGAUGGCUUCGGCUAUCACUUUUGGAUGGUCCCGCGGCGUAUUAGCUAGAUGGUGGGGUAACGGCUCACCAUGGCAAUGAUACGUAGCCGACCUGAGAGGGUAAUCGGCCACAUUGGGACUGAGACACGGCCCAAACUCCUACGGGAGGCAGCAGUAGGGAAUCUUCCACAAUGGACGAAAGUCUGAUGGAGCAACGCCGCGUGAGUGAAGAAGGGUUUCGGCUCGUAAAACUCUGUUGUUAAAGAAGAACAUAUCUGAGAGUAACUGUUCAGGUAUUGACGGUAUUUAACCAGAAAGCCACGGCUAACUACGUGCCAGCAGCCGCGGUAAUACGUAGGUGGCAAGCGUUGUCCGGAUUUAUUGGGCGUAAAGCGAGCGCAGGCGGUUUUUUAAGUCUGAUGUGAAAGCCUUCGGCUCAACCGAAGAAGUGCAUCGGAAACUGGGAAACUUGAGUGCGGAAGAGGACAGUGGAACUCCAUGUGUAGCGGUGAAAUGCGUAGAUAUAUGGAAGAACACCAGUGGCGAAGGCGGCUGUCUGGUCUGUAACUGACGCUGAGGCUCGAAAGUAUGGGUAGCAAACAGGAUUAGAUACCCUGGUAGUCCAUACCGUAAACGAUGAAUGCUAAGUGUUGGAGGGUUUCCGCCCUUCAGUGCUGCAGCUAACGCAUUAAGCAUUCCGCCUGGGGAGUACGGCCGCAAGGCUGAAACUCAAAGGAAUUGACGGGGGCCCGCACAAGCGGUGGAGCAUGUGGUUUAAUUCGAAGCUACGCGAAGAACCUUACCAGGUCUUGACAUACUAUGCAAAUCUAAGAGAUUAGACGUUCCCUUCGGGGACAUGGAUACAGGUGGUGCAUGGUUGUCGUCAGCUCGUGUCGUGAGAUGUUGGGUUAAGUCCCGCAACGAGCGCAACCCUUAUUAUCAGUUGCCAGCAUUAAGUUGGGCACUCUGGUGAGACUGCCGGUGACAAACCGGAGGAAGGUGGGGAUGACGUCAAAUCAUCAUGCCCCUUAUGACCUGGGCUACACACGUGCUACAAUGGAUGGUACAACGAGUUGCGAACUCGCGAGAGUAAGCUAAUCUCUUAAAGCCAUUCUCAGUUCGGAUUGUAGGCUGCAACUCGCCUACAUGAAGUCGGAAUCGCUAGUAAUCGCGGAUCAGCAUGCCGCGGUGAAUACGUUCCCGGGCCUUGUACACACCGCCCGUCACACCAUGAGAGUUUGUAACACCCAAAGUCGGUGGGGUAACCUUUUAGGAACCAGCCGCCUAAGGUGGGACAGAUGAUUAGGGUG